rnacentral:rRNA from 1 species
GACGAACGCUGGCGGCGUGCCUAAUACAUGCAAGUAGGACGCAGUUGCGAACGGGUGAGUAACGCGUCGGUAACUGCCUAUUAGAGGGGGAUAACUAUAGGAAACGAUAGCUAAUACCGCAUACUAGUAGAUGGACCUGCGUGGUAUUAGCUAGUAGGUGAGGUAACGGCUCACCAAGGCGACGAUGCAUCGCCGACCUGGGAGGUGGGUCGGCCACACGGGGAGUGAGACACGGCCCAUACUCCUACGGGAGGCAGCAGUAGGGAAUCUUCGGCAAUGGACGAAAGUCUGGCCGAGCAACGCCGCGUGAGUGAAGAAGGUUUUCGGAGCGUAAAACUCUGUUGUUAGAGGAACGGUAUCUAACCAGAAAGCAACGGCUAACUACGUGCCAGCAGCCGCGGUAAUUC